UACGUAGGCAGCAAGCGUUGUUCGGAGUUACUGGGCGUAAAGGGUGUGUAGGCGGUUGGGUAAGUGUGGUGUGAAAUCUCCCGGCUUAACUGGGAGGGUGCGCUACAAACUGUCUGACUAGAGUGUGGGAUGGGUAAGUGGAAUUCCUGGUGUAGCGGUGAAAUGCGCAGAUAUCAGGAGGAACACCAGCGGCGAAGGCGGCGCUCUGGGCCGGUACUGACACUGAGGAGCGAAAGCGUGGGUAGCAAACAGG
rnacentral:rRNA from 1 species